AACGAACGCUGGCGGCAUGCCUAACACAUGCAAGUCGAACGAAGCCUUCGGGCUUAGUGGCGCACGGGUGCGUAACGCGUGGGAAUCUGCCCUUGGGUUCGGAAUAACAGUUAGAAAUGACUGCUAAUACCGAAUGAUGUCUUCGGACCAAAGAUUUAUCGCCCAAGGAUGAGCCCGCGUCGGAUUAGCUAGUUGGUGAGGUAAAGGCUCACCAAGGCGACGAUCCGUAGCUGGUCUGAGAGGAUGAUCAGCCACACUGGGACUGAGACACGGCCCAGACUCCUACGGGAGGCAGCAGUGGGGAAUAUUGGACAAUGGGCGAAAGCCUGAUCCAGCAAUGCCGCGUGAGUGAUGAAGGCCUUAGGGUUGUAAAGCUCUUUUACCCGGAUGAUAAUGACAGUACCGGGAGAAUAAGCCCCGGCUAACUCCGUGCCAGCAGCCGCGGU
rnacentral:rRNA from 1 species